UCAAGAUGGCAUCGAAAGGUGUCCUCGUUGUGUGUUGCAUAGAAGAAGAACCUGCGGUUGAGGACCAAAUUUCGCGUUGAAGACGACGAAUACGUUGGGGGAACCGGGGCGAGCAGUAACACGCGGGCAAGCAGUAUACCUGCUCGAAGAGGACGACUCAAGUUGCAGUGCAGGCCGCGACUUUUACUUAAUGUGUGUGAGCCUGUGCCUUUGUUGUCAUCAACCAAGGAACUUCUCUGACACAAUUCGUGAGAAAAGAACGAUGCGCACUGCACAGCAGCUAGCUAGAUCGGGGAGAAGCAGAUUCCGAAGGGGAUUAGCCGAUGAGGCUUCGCUAAGGAUCCUGGCCAUUUCACUCAGAUUCACUCCAAACAAGAGCUCCUAAUUGUAUUCCCCAGGAGCAACAAGGGAGGUCAUGUCUGAACAUGCACGUCAGGACCAGAAAGCAGUUUCAGCAGGGCAGCACAGGACAAGAUGCUGAGGACACAGUGACCACCCUGCAACUGAAGUCUUGCCUGUGUCCCAUGUGAUGAACAGUUGUCUACCCAUAGUUUUCUACAUUACAUACUACCUGCCGGUGGAACCCCCCAGCUCUUAUGUACAGGUAUCCACACAGUUAACUAAUCUCCCGCUCCUGUGGCUUUGCCCCGAUAAGCGCCCAACUAACGGCUGACGAC